rnacentral:lncRNA from 1 species
CCGCAUGCCAUGCCGCCUGUUCUCCAGCGUCUUCAGCCAGUAGGCGACGGACCAGCCCAGCACGCCCCCCCCCACCACCACCACAUCCGCUCGCUCUGGGGGCGGGGGGCUGUUCUGGUGGGGGCGCAGUGAGUUCCAGGCCCCCUCUGACUCUGGCAGCUGACCCCGCAGUGCCUGCCCCAGGCGGGACAGCCUCGGCCCCAGCUCGCGGAAGAUGUCGGAGCGCUGCGGGGCCGCGGUGCGGAGGG